rnacentral:tRNA from 1 species
UCUAUCAAAGGAGAAUAGUUACCCCACUGGUCUUAGGCACCACAACUCUUGGUGCAAAUCCAAGUGAUAGAA